rnacentral:rRNA from 1 species
UACGUAGGGUGCGAGCGUUGUCCGGAAUUAUUGGGCGUAAAGAGCUCGUAGGCGGUUUGUCACGUCUGCUGUGAAAUCCCGAGGCUCAACCUCGGGCCUGCAGUGGGUACGGGCAGACUGGAGUGCGGUAGGGGAGAAUGGAAUUCCUGGUGUAGCGGUGGAAUGCGCAGAUAUCAGGAGGAACACCGAUGGCGAAGGCAGUUUUCUGGGCCGUAACUGACGCUGAGGAGCGAAAGCGUGGGGAGCGAACAGG